rnacentral:rRNA from 1 species
CAGCCGCCGCGGGAAUACGUAGGUGGCGAGCGUUGUCCGGAUUUAUUGGGCGUAAAGGGAGUGUAGGCGGUCUUUUAAGUCUGAUGUGAAAGCCCACGGCUCAACCGUGGAGGGACAUUGGAAACUGGGAGACUUGAGUGCAGAAGAGGAGAGCGGAAUUCCAUGUGUAGCGGUGAAAUGCGUAGAUAUAUGGAGGAACACCAGUGGCGAAGGCGGCUCUCUGGUCUGUAACUGACGCUGAGGCUCGAAAGCGUGGGGAGCAAACAGGAUUAGAUACCCGGGUAGUCCCUGUCUCUUAUAC